CCGAAUCGUAGUCCGGAGUUGCAGUCUGCAACUCGACUGCAUGAAGUCGGAAUCGCUAGUAAUCGCGGAUCAGCAUGCCGCGGUGAAUACGUUCCCGGGUCUUGUACACACCGCCCGUCAAACAAUGGGAGUGGUGUUUACCAGAAGUCGUUAGCCUAACCGCAAGGAGGGCGGCGACCACGGUGAGCACCGUGACUAAUGUUAAGUCGUAACAAGGUACC
rnacentral:rRNA from 1 species